rnacentral:rRNA from 1 species
GACGAACGCUGGCGGCGUGCCUAACACAUGCAAGUCGAACGGAGAUUUUAUUUAUGAAAUCUUAGUGGCGAACGGGUGAGUAACGCGUAGACAACCUGCCUUUUAGAUGGGGACAACACCGCGAAAGUGGUGCUAAUACCGAAUGUUGUAUUUUGGUCGCAUGAUUGAGAUACUAAAGAUGGCCUCUAUUUAUAAGCUAUCACUAAAAGAUGGGUCUGCGUCUGAUUAGCUAGUUGGUGAGGUAAUGGCUCACCAAGGCGACGAUCAGUAGCCGGUCUGAGAGGAUGAACGGCCACACUGGGACUGAGACACGGCCCAGACUCCUACGGGAGGCAGCAGUGGGGAAUCUUCCGCAAUGGACGAAAGUCUGACGGAGCAACGCCGCGUGAGUGAAGAAGGUUUUCGGAUCGUAAAACUCUGUUUUCAGGGACGAAUGUGCGAUGUGUAAAUAAUGCAUUGUAAUGACGGUACCUGAGUAGAAAGCCACGGCUAACUACGUGCCAGCCGCCGCCGUAA